CGCAAGUUGAAUUACGUGUUACGCAUCCGAAACGAAUGAAGAUUCCAUGAACAAUCGCGACCAUGGCGGCGGAUCUUCGACGUUAAAGCGUGCCGGUACAUAAUCGCUACGCUCCAAACCUAUUACCAGUCAGCCAUCGAUGCAUUACAAACUCGCGUAGCCGAGCUGCGAGACGGCCGAGACAGCUGCCAGCAAAUAAAUCAAAGAUCGGCCUCGAUUCCUCGACGCACGGAUGCACGCAAGUCGUUCUCAAGCAUGGCAGAAAGGCAAACGAAUGUUUCGUGUUGGACUGGAGAUCCGACGAGAGCGUUCAUUGAUAAAACGAUGGGAGGUUUCCUUUUGCCGGCGCGAAUUAAUU
rnacentral:misc_RNA from 1 species